GAAGGCAGCUGUCAGCCCAGCAGGAAGCAGACAUUGAGAGGCGUCCCCUGUCACUGUGGCUGGAGCCUGCCCGCUGAGCCCUGCGGGCGCUGGGGGGUGGACCUCAGCGCCUGGAUGGAGGGAUGGAGAAAGCAGCGGGAGGGCUGGGCAGUGAGGACCCCUAAGG
rfam:Myotis davidii contig82244, whole genome shotgun sequence.